CAGCCGCCGCGGUAAUACGAAGGGACCUAGCGUAGUUCGGAAUUACUGGGCUUAAAGAGUUCGUAGGUUGUUAAAAAAGUUGGUGGUGAAAUCCCAGAGCUUAACUCUGGAACUGCCAUCAAAACUUUUUAGCUAGAGUAUGAUAGAGGAAAGCAGAAUUUCUAGUGUAGAGGUGAAAUUCGUAGAUAUUAGAAAGAAUACCGAUUGCGAAGGCAGCUUUCUGGAUCAUUACUGACGCUGAGGAACGAAAGCAUGGGUAGCGAAGAGGAUUAGAUACCCUCGUAGUCCAUGCCGUAAACGAUGUGUGUUAGACGUUGGAAAUUUAUUUUCAGUGUCGCAGCGAAAGCAGUAAACACACCGCCUGGGGAGUACGACCGCAAGGUUAAAACUCAAAUGAAUUGACGGGGACCCGCACAAGUAGUGGAGCAUGUGGUUUAAUUCGAAGAUACGCGCAGAACCUUACCAACACUUGACAUGUUCGUCGCGACUCUAAGAGAUUAGAGUUUUCGGUUCGGCCGGACGAAACACAGGUGCUGCAUGGCUGUCGUCAGCUCGUGUCGUGAGAUGUUGGGUUAAGUCCCGCAACGAGCGCAACCCUCACUUUUAGUUGCCAUCAUUUAGUUGGGCACUCUGAAAGAACUGCCAGUGAUAAGCUGGAGGAAGGUGGGGAUGACGUCAAGUCCUCAUGGCCCUUAUGUGUUGGGCUACACACGUGCUACAAUGGCAUUUACAAUAGGAAGCAAAACGGCGACGUUAAGCAAAUCCUAAAAAAAUGCCUCAGUUCGGAUUGUACUCUGCAACUCGAGUACAUGAAGCUGGAAUUACUAGUAAUCGCGGAUCAGCGCGCCGCGGUGAAUACGUUCCCGGGUCUUGUACACACCGCCCG
rnacentral:rRNA from 1 species